rnacentral:tRNA from 1 species
AUUUCUGUGGUGUAAAUUUGCACGUUAGAUUUUCAUUCUAAAAGUAUAAAAACUUGUUUAUCGGAAAUA